AGGGAAUCCCGAAGCCAGCCCCUCCCCCAUUUGUCCAACUCCCCAGUCUCUGGCCCACUAUCCCUAAGCCAGCCCACACGCCGGUCCCAGAGGGCACAAGGCACACCUCACCUUUGGUCUCUUCAUUACGGUGACAGGCAGCUACCUCCCAGUCCACUCGACAAGACUGGCCUUCCCUGGCAACCAUCAACACUCCUAUCACCACCCUGUUGGCCAAGUACUUGCCCCUACUUCAAGUCUGGAGGCCUGUUUCUACACCUGCAAAACAAGGAAACCAGAUUGGAAGAUUUGUUAGUCUCCGCCCACAUCCGUCCCUUCCGCUGCUGGCAGAGAGGGAGAAGGGCUGGGCUUCUCUGUUGCGUGCCAUCAAGGCCUGGGGGUGAUGGGUAUACCCCUUUGUUCUGAAACUGUGGGGCCCACUGCUGAACAAGAAUGAAACUGUCCUGACAGAGACAGGGGGCGGAGGUGGGGGGUGUGCAGACCUGGUGGUCAUACACACACUCCUGCCCCUAGGAUCUGACGAUGUUGAACGGCCUGGACUUGAGGUCUGCUUUCUGGGGCUUGGAGGAAAAGUAAGAAGUAGACUGGAUGCAGAUUCUGGCCCAUGCCAGGCCAUGGGUUUGCCAUCCCCUGACCCUAUCUGUGUUGGGCGCUCACAUAGCAGGCAGGCAAGGAUGGCCGGGAGUUGGAGGGGUCCCUUCCCAUCCACGUCUUCCUGGGCCUCAGCCACACUAACUUCCAUGCCCCUGUUCAGACUUCUCUGCUCUCUAGGUCUUCCCAAGCACAGUUAAGAGUCAACUCCCCUGGGUUCUAAUCUUGGCUCUGUCACUCAUGUCCUGCCUACACUAGCAUGUCCCAGGGCGCCGGUUUUCUCUUCUAUAAAAUAGGAAUAAGCAGAAUGUGUUGGCAAACACCUGUCAUCCCAACUAUU